AAAAUUGCUUAAACACCUUUCCAGUCCUUGGAAGUGGUGAAUGUGUUGACAGUCCAACAGAUAUCUGAACCACCAAAACCUGAGUUAUCAAUGGCCUCAUGGAAAGGAGCUAAAGCUGUUAUAGAGACUGGGAACACCCAAGGUUGGGGCAAGUUGAUAGAAGUACUCGAGAAGUGGGACAAGUUUAGGCUGGGAUAUCAACC
rnacentral:lncRNA from 1 species